GACGUAGGGAGCAAGCGUUGUCCGGAAUCAUUGGGCGUAAAGAGCUCGUAGGCGGCUUGUCGCGUCGAAUGUGAAAUCUCAGGGCUCAACUCUGACAUUGCAUUCGAUACGGGCAGGCUAGAGUUCGGUAGGGGAGACUGGAAUUCCUGGUGUAGCGGUGAAAUGCGCAGAUAUCAGGAGGAACACCGAUGGCGAAGGCAGGUCUCUGGGCCGAUACUGACGCUGAGGAGCGAAAGCGUGGGGAGCGAACAGG
rnacentral:rRNA from 1 species